rnacentral:tRNA from 1 species
GAAUUCUUGGUGAAAUUGAAAACACGUCCGGCUAGAAAUCGGGAGAUUCGGAGUUCGAAUCCCUGUGAGGGCA